rnacentral:rRNA from 1 species
CAGCCGCCGCGGUAAUACGUAGGGGGCGAGCGUUACCCGGAUUCACUGGGCGUAAAGGGGGUGUAGGCGGCUCGGUAAGUCGGGUGUGAAAUCCCACGGCUCAACCGUGGAAUUGCGCCCGAAACUGCCGAGCUUGGGGCCGGUAGAGGGAGACGGAGCUGCCGGUGUAGGGGUGAAAUCCGUAGAUAUCGGCAGGAACGCCGGUGGGGAAGCCGGUCUCCUGGGCCGCGCCCGACGCUGAGGCCCGAAAGCUAGGGGAGCAAACCGGAUUAGAUACCCGGGUAGUCCUAGCCGUAAACGAUGCCCACUAGGUGUGGGGGAGUAUUUCCUCCGUGCUGUAGCUAACGCGUUAAGUGGGCCGCCUGGGGAGUACGCCCGCAAGGGUGAAACUUAAAGGAAUUGGCGGG